CUACGAGCCGCAGCAGUGAGGAAUUUUGCGCAAUGGGGGAAACCCUGACGCAGCAACGCCGCGUGAGCGAAGAAGGCCUUCGGGUCGUAAAGCUCUGUCAAGUGGGAAAAAAAUUCUUUGAUGAACAGUCAAAGGACUUGCUGGUACCACUGGAGGAAGCACCGGCUAACUCCGUGCCAGCAGCCGCGGUAAUACGGAGGGUGCAAGCGUUGUUCGGAAUGUACUGGGCGUAAAGAGCGUGUAGGCGGUUUGACAAGUCAGAUGUGAAAGCCCCGGGCUCAACCCGGGAAGUGCAUUUGAAACUGUUUCACUAGAGUAUGGGAGAGGAGAUUGGAAUUCCUGGUGUAGAGGUGAAAUUCGUAGAUAUCAGGAGGAACACCCGUGGCGAAGGCGAUUCUCUGGACCAAUACUGACGCUGAGACGCGAAAGCGUGGGGAGCAAACAGGAUUAGAUACCCUCGUAGUC
rnacentral:rRNA from 1 species